rnacentral:lncRNA from 1 species
GUGGGGCCCUGCUCCCCACCCCACUCACCUCCUCCUCUCCACAGUGGACCCCCUGGCCCAGGUGACUCAGCUAUUCCGGGAACAUCUCUUAGAGCGAGCACUGAACUGUGUGACCCAGCCCAACCCCAGCCCUGGGUCAGCUGAUGGGGACAAGGAAUUCUCGGAUGCCCUCGGGUACCUGCAGCUGCUGAACAGCUGUUCUGAUGCUGCGGGGGCUCCUGCCUACAGCUUCUCCAUCAGUUCCAGCAUGGCCACCACCACCGGUGAGUCCCCGGCCCCUGUCCUGGCUCCCUUCUCAGCUCCCCCGUGCAGCGUGACUGAGGGUUCAGGGGACCCUCCCUCUUCUGCAGGCGUAGACCCGGUGGCCAAGUGGUGGGCCUCUCUGACAGCUGUGGUGAUCCACUGGCUGCGGCGGGAUGAGGAGGCGGCUGAGCGGCUGUGCCCGCUGGUGGAGCACCUGCCCCGGGUGCUGCAGGAGUCUGAGUGAGUGCACGGCAGGUUCCUCCUGCCUGGUCCCGGGCUCAGCCUUCCUCAUCCCCUGGGCACUGUGCCUCACUCAGCCUUUGUUCUGUGCAGGAGGAGUCACCACCUUUUUUCCUCAGGGAACUCGAGCCAGGGAAGUGGGGGGCACUCAGCCAGGGCUUGUGGACUGGUCUGACUGGCACUCUUCUGCCCUGGUCCCAACAGGAGACCCC